UACGAAGGGGGCUAGCGUUGUUCGGAAUUACUGGGCGUAAAGCGCACGUAGGCGGACAUUUAAGUCAGGGGUGAAAUCCCGGGGCUCAACCUCGGAACUGCCUUUGAUACAGCAUGUCUUGAGUCCGAUAGAGGUGGGUGGAAUUCCUAGUGUAGAGGUGAAAUUCGUAGAUAUUAGGAAGAACACCGGUGGCGAAGGCGGCCCACUGGAUCGGUACUGACGCUGAGGUGCGAAAGCGUGGGGAGCAAACAGG
rnacentral:rRNA from 1 species